UACGUAGGGAGCAAGCGUUGCCCGGAAUUACUGGGCGUAAAGAGCUCGUAGGCGGGGGCGUGCGUCCGGGAAGAAAUCUCAUGGCUCAACCAUGGGGCUAUCUCGGAUACGGCGCUUCUUGAGGGUGAGAGAGGAAAGCGGAAUUCCAGGUGUAGCGGUGAAAUGCGUAGAUAUCUGGAGGAACACCAGCGGCGAAGGCGGCUUUCUGGCUCAUUCCUGACGCUGAGGAGCGAAAGCGUGGGUAGCGAACGGG
rnacentral:rRNA from 1 species